CUGUAAAGCACCGUACAUUGUGCAGCCAUUAUGAUUUUUUCUAGACUUUCCAUUUUCAUAUUUGAAUUCCAAUUUAAGAUAUUGACAUUAUUGCCGAGGCUCAAAGUUCCAUUAAAUUCCAAGUUACCAGUGUCAAACUUUUUAUCUGCUGCAUAAUUUUGAAAAUAAAAAGAACAUUAACUAAACACAAGAAAGUUGUCUUUCAAGCAAGUCUUUCUUGUUAACAUUAUAAACAUGUUGACAUUGUUUAUACCUCCCCGUUUUCAUCAUGGUUACCAUGCAUUAAUGUAUAGCACCUUUAGUUAAGAAAUUUUACCGAGGGGCCGCCCAGUUCGCCUAAUUUUUGAGAACUUAAUAGAUAACACCUCGUAUGUUAGGUUGUGCAAUUGUAUUUUAAUGCUCUAGCUAGCUCAUAUGUAAGGUAAGAGUUUAAACAAAAUGUUUUUCGAAUUAAAAUGAAAUUGACACGGAAUGCCAGCCUUCGUGCACAUUAAUUGGCUAGUUGUCUACGAUUAAAGCAGUUAGCUCAGCCCCUGUCUGAGCGUUCAGCUCUAAAAGUCCACAACCCGUGAUCCCCCCCUGGUUGCUAAAAUUCAUCGCUAAAGGCUAACUGCUGGUUGCAUUGUGCUAUUAACAAUGCAUAUGCCAUAUAUAACAGUGAGUUUAGUCUCAAUAUAGCGGGUUGUUAGUUCUUUGUUCAACUUUUGAUGCAAAUUCGUAAAAUUCAUGGGAUAUAUCUGACGGUAAAGCUGGGCAAUUUAACUGUAAAGGUAUAAAGUGAAAUAUUAUCUCCCAACUCCCAAGCUCCAUUCUUUCCAAAGAAAAUGAUAAUCCGCUUGAUAAUUGUGUUAUAUCCUAUA